rnacentral:misc_RNA from 1 species
UGGCUCUCGCAUCGAUGAAGAACGCAGCGAAAUGCGAUAAGUAAUGUGAAUUGCAGAAUUCAGUGAAUCAUCGAAUCUUUGAACGCACCUUGCGCUCCUUGGUAUUCCGAGGAGCAUGCCUGUUUGAGUGUCUUGAAGUCAUCAACCCCUCCCGUUUCUGUGCGAGAGGAAGGUUGGAGCUGGGGGUUUGCGACCGCAAGGGCGCUCCCCUCAAAUGCUUCGGUUGGGCCCGUGGGUCGAACUCGGUUGGGCGUUGUACCAUCCUCGCUCGCGUCCGAGACGUUCCCCUUAGAAUCGAGCCCUUCCAAGGCCUCCUCUGGAGUGGUGGCCAAACUCAUCUAGAAUUCUGACCUCAAAUCAGGUAGGACUACCCGCUGA